AGCUCUUCUGCUUCGCCGGCGCUAAACGUGGCGCUAUGAAGAACGAUUUUAGAGGUCUGUUGCUAAGCCAUUGCGAGAAUGAGUCUGACACGUGCCGAGUCGUGGAUUGCUCUGGGAGUCAAUGCUCCAACGGCACCUCUGUGAUUCUCGAAACGUUUUUGGAUUCGAAUUUUUGUCUGCAGCCGAGAGGCGAUAGUUUCACCCGCAAGUCCAUAUUCGAUU
rnacentral:misc_RNA from 1 species